rnacentral:misc_RNA from 1 species
GAUGAAGAACGUAGCGAAAUGCGAUAAGUAAUGUGAAUUGCAGAAUUCCGUGAAUCAUCGAAUCUUUGAACGCACAUUGCGCCCCCUGGUAUUCCGGGGGGCAUGCCUGUGCGAGCGUCAUUGCAACCCUCAAGCGCGGCUUGUGUGUUGGGCUUCGUCCCCCCGUGGACGUGCCCGAAAGGCAGUGGCGGCGUCCCGAAUGGUGCCCGAGCGUAUGGGAACUCUCUUCCGCUCGAACCGGCCCAUUCGGCGCUGGUCGAACCCCAAUUUUUUUUUACCGGUUGACCUCGGAUCAGGUAGGGAUACCCGCUGAACUUAAGCAUAUCAAUAAGCGGAGGA